rnacentral:rRNA from 1 species
CCUACGGGAGGCAGCAGUGGGGAAUAUUGCACAAUGGGGGAAACCCUGAUGCAGCGACGCCGCGUGAGUGAAGAAGUAUUUCGGUAUGUAAAGCUCUGUCCACAGUGAAGAAAAUGACGGUACCUGAUUAAGAAGCCCCGGCUAACUACGUGCCAGCAGCCGCGGUAAUACGUAGGGAGUAAGCGUUGUCCGGAUUUACUGGGUGUAAAGGGAGCGUAGGCGGUUAUGCAAGUCAGAAGUGAAAGCCAGAGGCUCAACUCCUGGACUGCUUUUGAAACUGUGUGACGUGAGUGCAGGAGAGGUAAGCGGAAUUCCCGGUGUAGCGGUGAAAUGCGUAGAUAUCAGGAGGAACACCAGUGGCGAAGGCGGCUUACUGGACUGUAACUGACGUUGAGGCUCGAAAGCGUGGGGAGCAAACAGGAUUAGAUACCCUUGUAGUC